rnacentral:lncRNA from 1 species
CUCGAGGCGGGCACCGCGAGUCCACAGCAAGUCUCCAGCCCCGCGCCCGCGCAGGUGGGCGAGGCGGGGACGUGAUGGGCGGGGCCUAGAAAGGCGGGGCCUUUGGGGGCGGCCCCGGGGCGGGCCCCGCCGGUGCGAGGGCUGCAGGCGCAGCUCCGGAGCGUCUAAAGCGCGGCGCGGGGCAGGAUCUUGCUGGACCAGGAGCGGCAGCGCAUCCUCCUGCGACUCCGGGGCCAGGCGCCCACUCCAGAUUUCUUUAAAGCCUCAUGGAACACAUCAUUAUUGCUGGAUGCCCGGACACUUAACGCACCUGACAGCAGGCGAAGUGCUCAGAAUGGGACAGGAUGUCACCUGGAAUCAGCACUAAGUGAUUCAGACUGUCCUUACUUUUAAAUGGUAAAAAGUCUAAAUGCUUUUCUUAACAUUAUUUUAUAUUAAUGAUGGUCAUUUAUUCAUUUUUAUUUGUAUUAUUACUAUUCACAGCUCAUUUCCUAAUGAAAUAGUUAAGUUUCUGGCGUUAAAAACUAGUGUCAAAUCUCUAGAAAUCUUGUUAUGAACAGAUUUAUAAUGGUCAAAUUGGUAGUAUUUGGCUUUCUUUUUUUAGAACAGCAGCGCUUAUCAGCUGUAGAACCAGUUGCCAAGUUAUAAAAUUGAUUUUUGGAAACAAAGCUAUUGAAUGUUUGUAAGCAUUUUACAUAGUAAAAGUGGGUUGUGUUCCUAAAAUUUGAAUAUAGAUGAAGGUCUGUCAUAAAUUACAAUUUGUAUACACUAUUGUUUUCUGCAAGACUUAGUUAUUACAGUCCGUUUUAACUACUGCAGAAAACGCAAGCUGUAUCUCUCUUUUGGAUUAUGAAUAUUUUGUUCUUGUAGUGUCUGGCAUGGAGCUAAACUCAUUGUGAGACCAACCCAACACAGUCCAAAAUUGGGCCUGGUUUCAUCUGAGCCUUUUCAAUCCAGUUUGAAAAUUCCGUUGACUUGCCCUUCCUCCGAAGAUUCUUAGACGUCACAACCAUUUCCGGCCAGGCACAGUGGCUCACGCCUGUAAUCCCAGCACUUUGGGAGGCCAAGGUGGGCGGAUCACGAGGUCAGGAGAUCGGGACCAUCCUGGCUAACACGGUGAAAACCCGUCUCUACUAAAAAUACAAAAAAAAAAAAAAAAGUUAGCCGGGCGUUGUGGUGGGUGCCUGUAGUCCCAGCUACUUGGUAGGCUGAGGCAGGAGAAUGGCGUAAGCCCGGGAGGCGGAGCUUGCAGUGAGCCGAGAUCGCCACUGCACUGCAGCCUGGGCAACAGGGCAAGACUCCGUCUCAAAAAAAAAAAAAAAGAAAAAAAGUCACAACCAUUUCCAAACUUCUUCCUAAGUGUGCCCCAAAUCCUAAAUCAACAAAAAGCAGAAUGGAUCUGAUCUCUUUU